UUUCCGUAGGUGAACCUGCGGAAGGAUCAUUAAAAAAUUGGACUCCAUUGGUGAGUUCAUUAAUAAUCCUACCCUUUGUGAAUUUGUUUGUUUGAAUAAUUUUUUUUCCAAAAAAAAUUAUUGAAUGUCUUUCCCUGUUUUGGUGGAGCUUGUAAAGUGAAACCAGGCAGGGGAAUGGCAAACAAUAAUUAUUUUUGAAAAAGACCUUUUUUAAAAUUAAACUUUUUGUAUUCAUUUGUCUAAAAUUAUUUUUAUAAUAUAAAAACAACUUUUGACAAUGGAUCUCUUGGUUCUCGCAACGAUGAAGAACGCAGCAAAAUGCGAUAAGUAGUGUGAAUUGCAGAAUACGUGAAUCAUCGAAUCUUCGAACGCAUAUUGCACUUUUUUAGUUUACUAAAAAAGUAUGUCUGUUUGAGUAUCAGUAAAAUAUUCUCAUAAAAAAUUUAUUUUUUAUGGUUAUGAGUGUUUUACAACGAUAACAAGUUGUUUCACUUUAAAUUCUUUGUUAUCAAAAAAAUCAUUAAAAGCUAAUUUUAAAGAUUUUUUAAAAUUGGAUAAAAUUUUCCCGUAAAAAGGAAUAACCUAAACAAUUUCAAAAAAUUAAAAUUGGUUUGAUUUUUCUUGAUUUAAAAAGGAAAAAAAAGUAAAAAUUAACUUGAUCUCAAAUCAGAUAAGAGUACCCGCUGAACUUAAGCAUAUCAAUAAGCGGAGGAAAAGAAACUAACUAGGAUUCCCUCAGUAACGGCGAGUGAAGCGGGAAGAGCUCAAAUUUGAAAUCUUCAAGGUUUUACCUUGACGAAUUGUAGUUUAAAGAAGUGUUUUCUGUUGGAGUUUUGGUAAAAGUUCUUUGGAAAAGGACAUCAUAGAGGGUGAGAAUCCCGUAUUUGACCAUUAUCUCCAGCUUUGUGAUACACUUUCAAAGAGUCGGAUUGUUUGGGAAUGCAGUCCAAAAUGGGUGGUAAAUUUCAUCUAAAGCUAAAUACUGGCGAGAGACCGAUAGCGAACAAGUACCGUGAGGGAAAGAUGAAAAGAACUUUGAAAAGAGAGUUAAACAGUACGUGAAAUUGUCAAAAGGGAAGCGUUUGACACCAGUGUUGUUUUCUCGAAAAUCAAUUAAAAAAGGCCGGAUUUUGUGUUGUAUUGACUUUAUCAGCUUUCUGCACUUUUUUCUUGUCUUUUUUAAUGCACUUUUCGUUUAACAAGUCAACAUCAAUUUCUUUUGUUGUAAAAGGGUCAUUGGAAGGUGGCUUUCUUUUCGGAGAAAGUGUUUAUAGCCUUUGGCCUCUGCAAUCGGAGAGAUUGAGGUCUGCAGCGUAGAUCCUUCGGGGUUAGAUACAUUUGUGCUAAGUUAUAGCCUUUCAUAGACAACUUGUUGACUAUGAUCAGUCAUGUAGCUUACUCGCUUAUGCUAUUU
rnacentral:misc_RNA from 1 species